AACGCGAAGAACCUUACCUAGGCUCGAAAUGUAGAGGACGACACCAGAAACGGUGUUUCCCGAAAGGGUCUCUAUAUAGGUGCUGCAUGGCUGUCGUCAGCUCGUGCCGUGAGGUGUUGGGUUAAGUCCCGCAACGAGCGCAACCCUUAUUGUCAGUUGCCAACGCGUAAUGGCGGGGACUCUGGCAAGACUGCCCAGGUUAACUGGGAGGAAGGUGAGGAUGACGUCAAGUCCGCAUGGCCUUUAUGUCUAGGGCUACACACGUGCUACAAUGGUCGGUACAAUAGGCAGCGAAGCCGCGAGGUGGAGCAAAUCUUAAAAGCCGAUCUCAGUUCAGAUUGCAGUCUGCAACUCGGCUGCAUGAAGUUGGAAUUGCUAGUAAUGGCGUGUCAGCAACAGCGCCGUGAAUACGUUCCCGGGCCUUGUACACACCGCGAGC
rnacentral:rRNA from 1 species